rnacentral:rRNA from 1 species
ACGGCUCAGUAACACGUGGAUAACCUGCCCUUAGGACGGGGAUAAACCCGGGAAACUGGGUAUAAUACCCGAUAGAUCUCGAUUGCUGGAAUGCAUCGAGUUCUAAAGCUCCGGCGCCUAAGGAUGGAUCUGCGGCCUAUCAGGUAGUAGUGGGUGUAGCGUACCUACUAGCCUACGACGGGUACGGGUUGUGAGAGCAAGAGCCCGGAGAUGGAUUCUGAGACACGAAUCCAGGCCCUACGGGGUGCAGCAGGCGCGAAAACUUUACAAUGCUGGCAACAGCGAUAAGGGGACCUCGAGUGCCAGGUUACAAAUCUGGCUGUCGUGAUGCCUAAAAAGCAUUGCAUAGCAAGGGCCGGGCAAGACCGGUGCCAGCCGCCGCGGUAACACCGGCGGCUCGAGUGGUAACCGUUAUUAUUGGGUCUAAAGGGUCUGUAGCCGGCCGGAUAAGUCUCUUGGGAAAUCUGGCAGCUUAACUGUCAGGCUUUCAGGGGAUACUGUCUGGCUCGAGGCCGGGAGAGGUGAGAGGUACUUCAGGGGUAGGGGUGAAAUCUUGUAAUCCUUGAAGGACCACCAGUGGCGGAGGCGUCUCACCAGAACGGACCUGACGGCAAGGGACGAAAGCUAGGGGCACGAACCGGAUUAGAUACCCGGGUAGUCCUAGCCGUAAACGAUACUCGCUAGGUGUCGGCCACGGUGCGACCGUUGUCGGUGCCGUAGGGAAGCCGUGAAGCGAGCCACCUGGGAAGUACGGCCGCAAGGCUGAAACUUAAAGGAAUUGGCGGGGGAGCAC